rnacentral:sRNA from 1 species
GUCCUCGAUCUGCUGCGGGCAGAUGAAGUGGAUGUGCGAAUCGAAGCCGCCGGCGGUCAGGAUGCGCCCCUCCCCCGCGAUCACCUCGGAACCCGGACCGAUGACGAUGUCCACGCCCGGCUGGGUGUCGGGAUUCCCGGCCUUGCCGAUCUUCGCGAUGCGCCCGUCCCGCAGACCCACAUCCGCCUUGUAGAUGCCGGUCGCGUCCACGAUCAGCGCAUUCGUGAUCACCGUGUCGACGGCGCCUUCCGCACGCGAGGCCUGGCUCUGGCCCAUGCCGUCGCGGAU